UGCGCCAACUCUUCCUGUUCGUUCUUCAUCACCAUCAUUCAAUUCGUAUUCGUUCUUCAGAAUAUCAACAGGCAAUUCAGCAAUCAUGACACAUUCGACCGAUCAGAAUAUUAUUUCUGCGAAUUUGCUAAUUCAUGAGACCGCUCAACGACCGGGAGAACAACAUCAUGAUACGAACGAUCAUCUUGAUGCUCGAGCCAAUUUGUUAGUUCCUCGGAGUAAUGAUCAAGCAGUAGAUCGUCAUGAAGAGGGUACCCGUAUGUCAGAGACGAUCGAUCAGCCCAAC